rnacentral:pre_miRNA from 2 species
UAUUAGGUUGGUGCAAAAGUAAUUGCGGUUUUUACCGUUGAAGGUAAUGGCAAAAACCGCAAUUACUUUUGCACCAAUCUAAUA